rnacentral:rRNA from 1 species
UGGGGAAUAUUGCACAAUGGGCGCAAGCCUGAUGCAGCCAUGCCGCGUGUGUGAAGAAGGCCUUCGGGUUGUAAAGCACUUUCAGCGAGGAGGAAGGGUAGUGUGUUAAUAGCACAUUGCAUUGACGUUACUCGCAGAAGAAGCACCGGCUAACUCCGUGCCAGAAGCCGCGGGAAUACGGAGGGUGCAAGCGUUAAUCGGAAUUACUGGGCGUAAAGCGCACGCAGGCGGUUUGUUAAGUCAGAUGUGAAAUCCCCGCGCUUAACGUGGGAACUGCAUUUGAAACUGGCAAGCUAGAGUCUUGUAGAGGGGGGUAGAAUUCCAGGUGUAGCGGUGAAAUGCGUAGAGAUCUGGAGGAAUACCGGUGGCGAAGGCGGCCCCCUGGACAAAGACUGACGCUCAGGUGCGAAAGCGUGGGGAGCAAACA